UAAGGAAUAUUGCGCAAUGGACGAAAGUCUGACGCAGCAACGCCGCGUGCAGGAUGAAGGCGCUUCGCGUCGUAAACUGCUGUAGCAGGGGAAUAAUGACACGUCACGGACGUGUUUGAAGGUACCCUGAAAGUAAGCUCCGGCUAACUACGUGCCAGCAGCCGCGGUAAUACGUAGGGAGCAAGCGUUGUCCGGAUUCACUGGGUGUAAAGGGUGCGCAGGCGGGAAGGUAAGUCGGAGGUGAAAUCUCACAGCUCAACUGUGAAACUGCCUCCGAUACUGCUUUUCUUGAGUUCGGGAGAGGUUGAUGGAAUUCCAGGUGUAGCGGUGAAAUGCGUAGAUAUCUGGAAGAACACCAGUGGCGAAGGCGGUCAACUGGCCCGUAACUGACGCUCAUGCACGAAAGCGUGGGUAGCGAACAGGAUUAGAUACCCUGGUAGUCCACGCCCUAAACGAUGAAUACUUGGUGUUGGUUCUUUUGGAUCAGUGCCGUAGGUAACCUGAUAAGUAUUCCACCUGGGGAGUACGCUCGCAAGGGUGA
rnacentral:rRNA from 1 species